rnacentral:rRNA from 1 species
UAGCUCAAAUUUGAAGCUGGCCUUCUGGUCCGCAUUGUAAUUUGUAGAGGAUGCUUUUAGGCAGCCGCCGGUCUAAGUUCCUUGGAACAGGACGUCAUAGAGGGUGAGAAUCCCGUAUGUGACCGGCUCUGGCACCUUCUGUAAAGCUCCUUCGACGAGUCGAGUUGUUUGGGAAUGCAGCUCUAAAUGGGAGGUAAAUUUCUUCUAAAGCUAAAUAUUGGCGAGAGACCGAUAGCGCACAAGUAGAGUGAUCGAAAGAUGAAAAGCACUUUGGAAAGAGAGUUAAAAAGCACGUGAAAUUGUUGAAAGGGAAGCGCUUGCAAUCAGACUUGGACUUGACUGUUCAACCGGGUCUUCUGACCGGCCCACUCAGUCUCGU